UACGAAGGUGGCGAGCGUUGUUCGGAAUCACUGGGCUUAAAGCGCGCGUAGGCGGAAUGGUGGGUGUCUUGUGAAAUCCCUCGGCUUAACCGAGGAAUUGCUUGGCAAACUGCCAUUCUUGAGGCAAGUAGGGGUGCAUGGAACUCUUGGUGGAGCGGUGGAAUGCGUAGAUAUCAAGAGGAACGCCAAAGGUGAAGACAGUGCACUGGGCUUGUCCUGACGCUGAGGUGCGAAAGCGUGGGGAGCGAACGGGAUUAGAUACCCCGGUA
rnacentral:rRNA from 1 species